rnacentral:rRNA from 1 species
UACGGAGGGGGCUAGCGUUGUUCGGAAUUACUGGGCGUAAAGCGCACGUAGGCGGCUUGUUAAGUCGGGGGUGAAAUCCCGAGGCUCAACCUCGGAACUGCCUUCGAUACUGUCAGUCUUGAGGUCGGGAGAGGUGAGUGGAACUCCGAGUGUAGAGGUGAAAUUCGUAGAUAUUCGGAAGAACACCAGUGGCGAAGGCGGCUCACUGGCCCGAUUCUGACGCUGAGGCGCGAAAGCGUGGGGAGCAAACAGG